AAUACCUACCAGGACAAACAUGACCCUCUUAGAAUGGGAUGAAUGAGAGCGAAUGAAAAGAAGCCAUCCAGAUUCAAGAGCUGAAAUUCUGCUGUUUCUCCAGAGGGUGUAGCACUGCUCACCUAGACAGCAUCUCUCUGGGGAAGGCAAGUCAAGAACUCUUAGAAACAAGCCACUUCCACAGUCUGGUGGCUCCUCGGUUUGGUAGCCUGCGCAGUGCCUCAGGGAAUCUAAGAUCAAGCCCUGUGCUCCCCAGGCCACAUGGGGCUCCCUAGGGUCAGCAUGAGCAGAGGCUUCAAGACUGAGCUUGAUAAGUUUAUGGAAGGGAUGGUAUGCUAAAACUGUCUACAGUGGCACAUAGCUAAUCUGCGACUGCUAGCAGCAAAUAUCUCUAAUGGCCAGUGAUGGGACACUAGCUGGGGAGGGUGUGACAGGAUCCCCCGGGGUGCAGCCUGGGACUGCUGUGCCCCCUUAACUCUCUCCAGCCUGGGCUGUCUCUCACAAUGCCUUGCUAGUGACCAGCAGCAAACCCCUCCAGGUGCUGUGAUCACUCAGCACAACAGCAUGUGGAGCCCCACAUCCAGCUAGAUUGCAUGAAUGCUCCCAGCGCCACUCAUGAAUCACCCAGAGAAAGGUACCAGAGCCAAAUCCCCCAGCUCCCAGCACUGUACCCCAGGAAUAUACCAUCUUGCACUGCUCAAGAUGGGCGGUGCAAAUUUAAAUAUUUGGUUCACCAGUUCAACAAUGGAAAGUGGACAUACACCAGCCUUUGUCAAACCUGAGCAGAUUUACCACACUCUUCAUACAAACUCAGUGGUUAAGAUAAACAAAUAAAUUUAUUGACUAUAAAAGGUAGAUUAAGUAAUAGGCAAAAAGUCAGUUACCAAAAGAAAUAAAAUAUAAGCCCACAGUCUAAACACUCAACCCUAUUAGAUGGGGCAGCAACUAGAUUAAGCAGUUUUUCUCACCCCACUGUAUUUUGCAGCCCUUAAUAUACAGGUUUGUUCCUUAAACCUGGGCCAAUCUCCUGUGUUGGAGUCUUGUCUUUUUGGACUGAAUUGCACAGUAAAUUGAUUUAAUUUCCAGUUUUCCUGCAUCAAAAUUAAUAUGCAACAGAUCUUUAUCUUCUAAUACUAAAUCCAUUUCCCUGAAGAGUUAUGUAUUGCUCCAUAAUAGAUACAUUGUGUUCUUGAUCUUUCCUCAACUUGGCUGCUACAUUUUAAGACUAACUAAUAUUCCUCCCGCCCGCCCUGUUACAAUAAAGCUGUCAUUUCUAGCACCUAAUGCAUCAGGAGGGUGGACUGAUAGCCCAGUCAGGUUAAUCUCUCUCCCCAGCAAUGAUUGGGAUGUUAAUCAUGCAUCUGCUUCCUGUCAGAGGAACGACAGUAAGUGUUUAUUGACCGUGCUUGCAGGUUCAUCAAUAUGUAUGGUGUUCCUCUUUAUCACUUCUUUCAGCAGAUGCUUUGAAGUUAAUAUUCACUUUGUUACAUACCAUA